CCUACGGGUGGCAGCAGUGGGGAAUAUUGGACAAUGGGCGCAAGCCUGACCCAGCAACGCCGCGUGAAGGAAGAAGGCUUUCGGGUUGUAAACUUCUUUUCUCAGGGACGAAGCAAGUGACGGUACCUGAGUAAUAAGCCACGGCUAACUACGUGCCAGCAGCCGCGGUAAUACGUGGGUUGCAAGCGUUAUCCGGAUUUACUGGGUGUAAUGGGCGUGUAGGCGGGAAAGCAAGUCAGAUGUGAACACCCUGGGCUCCACCUGUGGCCUGCAUUUGAAACUGUUUUUAUUGAGUAAUGGAGAGGGAGACGGAAGUCCUAGUGUAGCGGUGAAAGGCGUAGAUAUUAGGAGGAACACCAGUGGCGAAGGCGGUCUGCUGGACAGCAACUGACGCUGAGGCGCGAAAGCGUGGGGAGCAAACAGGAUUAGAUACCCCAGUAGUC
rnacentral:rRNA from 1 species